UUCGCCUGAGGCUCCCGGCAUGCUUAGCUGACUCGCAGACGACUUUUCCCCUCCUCACAGCAAGCUCGUUUGUCCUGGCGUAAGAGAAACGACUCUCCGAAAGGAGCGACGGUUGGUGCAGCUCUUCCGUUAAACGAAGACACGGCGACUCGAACGCCUUCCCCAUCGGCAUCCUUCCCCUUUCUGCACUCUUGUUCU
rnacentral:lncRNA from 1 species